GACGAACGCUGGCGGCGUGCUUAAUACAUGCAAGUCGAACGGAAAGGCCCUUCUCUGGUGUGGUGCUUGAGUGGCGAACGGGUGAGUAACACGUGAGUAUCCUGACCUUUACUUUGGGAUAACUUCAAGAAACUGGGGCUAAUACUGGUUAGGCGCACCUGCUUUUUGGUGGGGGUUGGAAAGUUUCGGCGUCUGGUGAUGGACUCGCGGCUUACGAGCUUGUUGGUGGGGUAGUGGCUUACGAAGGCUUUGACGGGUAGCCGGCCUGAGAGGGUGACCGGCCACAUUGGGACUGAGAUACGGCCCAGACUACUACGGGAGGCAGCAGUGGGGAAUAUUGCACAAUGGGCGGAAGCCUGAUGCAGCAACGCCGCGUGCGGGAUGACGGCCUUCGGGUUGUAAACCGCUUUCGCCUGUGACGAAGCGUGAGUGACGGUAAUGGGUAAAGAAGCACCGGCUAACUACGUG
rnacentral:rRNA from 1 species